rnacentral:lncRNA from 1 species
CUUUUUUUAAGCAACGGACAAACUUUUUAAACCUUAUUUAUUUAUAUAUUGUUUGUUUUCUAUAUUUCUAAAUAAUUUAUUCAAUUUAUGAAUCGCAGACAUUUCAAAUUUAUUAAGGUGAAGUUUCAUUCUGAUGCUAAUAAAGAAAGUUAUAAGAAUAAUUAAUUCAAUGUAUUAUAUUAUCAUUGUAUGUACGUAUGGCCUGAGAAUAUUGUCUAGAUACAACAUCAGCAUACGAUGGGCAUGAUGCGACGUGAACCGCUAAAAUAUAAGAACAAGAGAAGGUAAUGGUUUGAGCGUUAUAAAAGCAUAAGAUUUGUUAAAACAGGCUAUUUGCUACCUUUAUUUGUAAAGGUUCAGUUAAUCUUUUAGAAAGUUUUAUUUGUACAUAACCUUUCCCACUAGAUGCAUCUACCAUAUACUUUAUAGGGGAUAUGAAUUUUUCUUUACCAUGAACUCACUGCAUAUUUCGGCUUUAUUUUCAUCGACACUAUAUACAAUGUUUGCCGAAAAAAAUAAAAGUUCAAAUUACACUGGAACAUUAUGUCAAAGUAAGUCAAAAUAACACAUCAAUAAUUCAAAUCAUUAAAAUACAGCGUCUCAAACAACAUAAGGACUUAAGUCAUAACAUACUUAAAAGUAUCAAGGUGUUUUAAUAUUACAUAUUAUACACAUUCAAGUGUGUUAAUAACUGAUUUUGAGGUAUGUAUUCAAAGGGGAGAAACCGCAAAAAGUUCAUCUUUUUAUUAGACUAAUUUGAGAUAUUGUAACUUAAAAAAAAACCUAUGCAUAAUACGUUUAACAGGUUUGUUAUAAAUCAUAUCAUUACCGAAGUACUAACAAUUGAGUUGUAAUUCUAUCCGGGACAGCGAAGGUAUCGUCUUAGUGUUGUUAAAAUGAAAAAAAAUGCGUUGUACAUUUCGUGUCUAAAACAAUUUUCUCGAUUAACCUUAUCAAGGAAACGCUUAGAGCCGACAACUUGGGACGGAUGUUAAAAAAUGAAACAGUUAAUGAACUGCAUUGCCAAAGUAUCAAUUAAAUAUGCUUGCAUUAAUUAAUAAAAGCAAACAUUGUGAAUCUCAUGAAUAGUAUUUACAUAAGGGGGAAGAUGCAACCGUUUAUGUUGUUGUUCUGUAUACACAUGUUUUACUGUACCCCGUAACUUCCUUAUCAUUAUUUCAUAACUGCUGUAAAUGUCCUUUGGUUUUGUGAGUCUUUGUUUACUCCUUGGUUUUGAUUGUGAAUGUCUUCUCUUUGUGACACAAUCUACUGACAUCUAAUGCAACAGUACAUUUUGAGAUACUUGUGCACUGUUAUAAGAAUUACUGUCAUUUUUUUGUCAAGGGAAAGUGUGAUUGAUCAAAGAAAUUGAAAAAUUUCGCACAUUAUCACUAAGUCUCAACAGAUAACUUGUUGAUUUUAAAUAGAAUACCGUUACGUUCAUAGUCGUGCUUUUAUAACUCUGAACUAAUGAAAACAACAGCACAGGACAUAUUGCAAUAUAAAGUAUUCCUUUAUUCGCCAUGUUUUGUUUUCACGAUUUUUGAAUGGUAAAUUAACUUGCUUUAACGUAUAUUUAUCUUUUUCUACCAUUUCUUUUGUGCAGUACUAGUCCCCAUAAAAGAAGCAAGAACAGAAUGUAGGCAUGUUUGAAUGGUUGAGGAACAUACCCUAGCAACAUCCUAUAAAGUACAAGAACAAACAAAAAAAUUAACAUAUGGAAAUUGUUUUUAAAAUAUUUCACUGGUG